GAUGAACGCUGGCGGCGUGCCUAAUACAUGCAAGUCGAGCGAACGGACGAGAAGCUUGCUUCUCUGAUGUUAGCGGCGGACGGGUGAGUAACACGUGGAUAACCUACCUAUAAGACUGGGAUAACUUCGGGAAACCGGAGCUAAUACCGGAUAAUAUUUUGAACCGCAUGGUUCAAAAGUGAAAGACGGUCUUGCUGUCACUUAUAGAUGGAUCCGCGCUGCAUUAGCUAGUUGGUAAGGUAACGGCUUACCAAGGCAACGAUGCAUAGCCGACCUGAGAGGGUGAUCGGCCACACUGGAACUGAGACACGGUCCAGACUCCUACGGGAGGCAGCAGUAGGGAAUCUUCCGCAAUGGGCGAAAGCCUGACGGAGCAACGCCGCGUGAGUGAUGAAGGUCUUCGGAUCGUAAAACUCUGUUAUUAGGGAAGAACAUAUGUGUAAGUAACUGUGCACAUCUUGACGGUACCUAAUCAGAAAGCCACGGCUAACUACGUGCCAGCAGCCGCGGUAAUACGUAGGUGGCAAGCGUUAUCCGGAAUUAUUGGGCGUAAAGCGCGCGUAGGCGGUUUUUUAAGUCUGAUGUGAAAGCCCACGGCUCAACCGUGGAGGGUCAUUGGAAACUGGAAAACUUGAGUGCAGAAGAGGAAAGUGGAAUUCCAUGUGUAGCGGUGAAAUGCGCAGAGAUAUGGAGGAACACCAGUGGCGAAGGCGACUUUCUGGUCUGUAACUGACGCUGAUGUGCGAAAGCGUGGGGAUCAAACAGGAUUAGAUACCCUGGUAGUCCACGCCGUAAACGAUGAGUGCUAAGUGUUAGGGGGUUUCCGCCCCUUAGUGCUGCAGCUAACGCAUUAAGCACUCCGCCUGGGGAGUACGACCGCAAGGUUGAAACUCAAAGGAAUUGACGGGGACCCGCACAAGCGGUGGAGCAUGUGGUUUAAUUCGAAGCAACGCGAAGAACCUUACCAAAUCUUGACAUCCUUUGACAACUCUAGAGAUAGAGCUUUCCCCUUCGGGGGACAAAGUGACAGGUGGUGCAUGGUUGUCGUCAGCUCGUGUCGUGAGAUGUUGGGUUAAGUCCCGCAACGAGCGCAACCCUUAAGCUUAGUUGCCAUCAUUAAGUUGGGCACUCUAAGUUGACUGCCGGUGACAAACCGGAGGAAGGUGGGGAUGACGUCAAAUCAUCAUGCCCCUUAUGAUUUGGGCUACACACGUGCUACAAUGGACAAUACAAAGGGCAGCGAAACCGCGAGGUCAAGCAAAUCCCAUAAAGUUGUUCUCAGUUCGGAUUGUAGUCUGCAACUCGACUACAUGAAGCUGGAAUCGCCAGUAAUCGUAGAUCAGCAUGCUACGGUGAAUACGUUCCCGGGUCU
rnacentral:rRNA from 1 species